rnacentral:rRNA from 1 species
AUGGCGGCUGUAGCCGUCACACGCCGGAGGCUCUCGGCGCUCCUCCACUCCUCCCGCGCGAUUCCCCGUCGCCUCCUCCUCCUCACCGGCGCCGCCGCCUCUGCGCCCUCAGCCCACCCCUCUCCGUGGGCGCCGCCGUCGCGAGGGGCAAAGACGGCGCUGCCGGGAAGGCCCGGGUACUCUCCGCUCAACGACCCGUCCCCGAACUGGAGCAACCGGCCACCCAAGGAGACCAUCCUGCUGGAUGGCUGCGACUACGAGCACUGGCUCAUUGUCAUGGAGUUCCCCGCCGACCCCAAGCCCUCCGAGGAAGAUAUGGUGGCCGCCUACGUCAAGACCCUCACCGCUGUGCUCGGAAGUGAGGAGGAGGCAAAGAAGAAGAUCUACUCAGUAUGCACUACAACUUACACAGGGUUUGGUGCGUUGAUUUCGGAGGAGUUAUCAUACAAAGUUAAAGGAUUGCCGGGAGUUCUUUGGGUAUUACCUGAUUCAUAUUUGGAUGUGCCUAACAAGGAUUAUGGAGGUGAUCUCUUUGUAGAUGGCAAAGUCAUUCAUAGGCCACAAUUUCAGUUCACUGAGAGGCAGCAGGUAAGGAGCAGACCUCGUCCCCGCUAUGACAGGCGACGAGAGACUAUGCAGGUUGAGCGAAGAGAAACUAUGCAGAGAGGUCCUUCAGUACAAGAGCACAGACCUCCGUUUUCUAAGCAGGUUGCUCAAAAUAAUGGGCAGCAUGAAAUCGUACCGCCAGGAAGGAACUAA